rnacentral:lncRNA from 1 species
UUUUAAACUGGUGACUUAAGACAUCAUAAAAUAUCCCAAGUGGCAACUCUGAUUUUUUAAUAAUUAAUCCCGUUUCGAUUUUUACUUAAAUUGGAAAAAAAAAUCCCUUUAUUAUGCUAUUCCGGGGUGUAGUAGGAAAAAAGAGGUGUGACAAUAUGUCAAAUAGAAAUAAUUGAGACUAAGACGUGAUAUAAUAUGCAUGAACAUGAUU